CUCGUCCGAUCACCGAAGUUAAGCUCAGUAGGGCGCGGUAAGUACUUGGAUGUGUGACCUCUUCGGAAUACCGUGUGCUGUAGGCA
rnacentral:rRNA from 1 species